ACAGUAAUUAUUAAACUCGGAAUUUCAUUUUCCUUAUAAGAAAAGGUUUUAAGGUUAUUAUAUUGGGGAUUGCCACUGAAAAAUGAUAAAAAUAAAGGGUAGUAGGAGAAUAAACAAAAAAAGUUAGGAAGGACACAAUUUAUACAUCCAUGCACUUAGAAAGAACAUCCAUGCACCUAGAAAGAACAGACAUGCACCUAGAAAGAACAGACAUGCACCUAGAAAGAACAAACAUGCACCUAGAAAGAACAAACAUGCUCUGCUCUAAAGCAUUCAUGAGCAGAAGCAAUCACAUUACACUUAAAAACAUAACCAAACAUUCAAGCCCNGAAAACAUUCAAGCCNGCUACCCCGAGAAAGUCUUGCUUCUUAUCCANGCUUCACUUGUACUCGAGAAUCAUGUUAUUCUCUGGGGCAAGUCCAACACAAGCUCUCAGAAUGUUUUCCAGCAUUGCACGCUGCUUUGACAAUGCAUUCACCACUGGUGUACCCGGUGGAACCUGUGAUAGUUAUCUCACCAGUCAAUUUGUCAAAUUUAGAGAAAGAAAGAAUAGGGGAUGAAAA
rnacentral:lncRNA from 1 species